UGCAGUCACUGUGGAGGUCAUCAGUAGCCAUUGUGAAAAUGACCUGUAACCAGGGAACCAAAGAUAAUAGAACUGCUGUUCCUAUCACUAAUAAAUGAUCACUGGCAGAGGAUUUAUCAAGCAUGCGCUUGUCAGCAGCAGCAGAAAAGCACUCAGUGUCUUAGCAGCAGUUGGACUCUGACACUGCACUCUUCUAUGGUUUUGAUGUGUGCAUGUAAAGGCCAGAAAAGGGCAAGAAUCUUACAAGGAGUCAAAUCUUAGUUACUUUUGUUAAACACUGGAAUGAUUUGACAUGGACAAUGAGCUGUCAUAAUGACAGAAUUGACUGAGAUAUAAAACAUAGAUUAAACUAUAUGACAUAAUUCUGCUGAAGUUCAUGUUUCCUAGAACUGUGGAAGAGCAAGGAGAUUUGGUUACAAUAGUGACCUUCACAAAGACUUCUGAUGAAGGGUAUGAGAUGUGUGGGAGAGCUAAACAGAAAACAUGUCAACAAUGAAUCAAGACUAAGAAAACAAGUUAACACAUUCUGUUAAUAUUAUU
rnacentral:lncRNA from 1 species